AGCGAACGCUGGCGGCAGGCCUAACACAUGCAAGUCGAACGAACUCUUCGGAGUUAGUGGCGGACGGGUGAGUAACACGUGGGAACGUGCCUUUAGGUUCGGAAUAACUCAGGGAAACUUGUGCUAAUACCGAAUGUGCCCUUCGGGGGAAAGAUUUAUCGACUUUAGAGGGGCCCGCGUCUGAUUCGCUAGUUGGUGAGGUAAAGGCUCACCAAGGCGACGAUCAGUAGCUGGUCUGAGAGGAUGAUCAGCCACAUUGGGACUGAGACGCGGCCCAAACUCCUACGGGAGGCAGCAGUGGGGAAUGUUGCGCAAUGGGGGAAAGCCUGACGCAGCCAGGCCGCGUGAAUGAUGAAGGUCGUAGGAUUGUAAAAUUCUUUCACCGGGGACGAUAAUGACGGUACCCGGAGAAGAAGCCCCGGCUAACUUCGUG
rnacentral:rRNA from 1 species